UUCCAGACUCCUACGGGAGGCAGCAGUGGGGGAUAUUGCACAAUGGGGGAAACCCUGAUGCAGCGACGCCGCGUGGGUGAAGAAGCGCCUCGGCGCGUAAAGCCCUGUCAGCAGGGAAGAAAAUGACGGUACCUGACUAAGAAGCCCCGGCUAACUACGUGCCAGCAGCCGCGGUAAUACGUAGGGGGCAAGCGUUAUCCGGAUUUACUGGGUGUAAAGGGAGCGUAGACGGCAGUGCAAGUCUGAAGUGAAAGGCAAGGGCUCAACCCUUGGACUGCUUUGGAAACUGUGCUGCUGGAGUGUCGGAGAGGCAAGUGGAAUUCCUAGUGUAGCGGUGAAAUGCGUAGAUAUUAGGAGGAACACCAGUGGCGAAGGCGGCUUGCUGGACGACAACUGACGGUGAGGCGCGAAAGCGUGGGGAGCAAACAGGAUUAGAUACCCCGGUAAAA
rnacentral:rRNA from 1 species